CCUACGGGCGGCAGCAGUGGGGAAUAUUGGGCAAUGGGCGCAAGCCUGACCCAGCAACGCCGCGUGAAGGAAGAAGGCUUUCGGGUUGUAAACUUCUUUUCUCAGGGACGAAGAAAGUGACGGUACCUGAGGAAUAAGCCACGGCUAACUACGUGCAAGCAGCCGCGGUAAUACGUAGGUGGCAAGCGUUAUCCGGAUUGACUGGGUGUAAAGGGCGGGUAGGCGGGACUGCAAGUCAGAUGUGAAAACCACGGGCUCAACCUGUGGCCUGCAUUGGAAACGGUAGUUCUUGAGUACUGGGGAGGCAGACGGAAUUCCUCGUGUAGCGGUGAAAUGCGUAGAUAUUAGGAGGAACACCAGUGGCGAAGGCGGUCUGCUGGACAGCAACUGACGCUGAGGCGCGAAAGCGUGGGGAGCAAACCGGAUUAGAUACCCCGGUAGUC
rnacentral:rRNA from 1 species